rnacentral:rRNA from 1 species
GAGUUUNGAUCCAUGGCUCAAGAACGAACGNGGGCGGCAGGCUUAACACAUGCAAGUCGAGCGAGGACUUCGNUUCUAGCGGCGGACGGGUGAGUAACGCGUGGGAACGUGCCCUUUGCUACGGAAUAGUCCCGGGAAACUGGGUUUAAUACCGUAUGUGCCCUUUGACCUUGGUGGUCUUGGGGGAAAGAUUUAUCGGCAAAGGAUCGGCCCGCGUUGGAUUAGGUAGUUGGUGGGGUAAUGGCUCACCAAGCCGACGAUCCAUAGCUGGUUUGAGAGGAUGAUCAGCCACACUGGGACUGAGACACGGCCCAGACUCCUACGGGGGGCAGCAGA